AAGCCCCGGGGCUCUUUAGAGCUCUUUUUCAAAUUUGCACUUUGAUGUGAAACACUUCAGGACU
rnacentral:tRNA from 1 species